rnacentral:lncRNA from 1 species
GGACACACCAAAACUGCCGGCCAUAGCCCAUAUUCCCACAAGAAGAUGGCGAUCCCGGUUUACAGCAUCACAAGGGCAGAGAUCGAGGAGUUCUGGAGGAGAAAGGAGAUGGAAGAAGAGGAGCAGCGCCUCACCGCCGAGAAGGAAGCUGCAAGAAUCAAAGCCAAGACACUUAUGGUCAGUUCUUCUUCUUAUUGAUCAAUCGUAAUUUGUUGUAUUACCAAUCACUAUCUCGUCCUCUGAUCUCCUUUACCAGCUCAGGUUCAGUAUGGUUCUUAGUCAAAAAAAAGUUCAGUAUGGUAUUUAGCAUAGCAGAUAAAUCGACGCAUGUAAGGCAAUAAAAAUCUGCGAUGCAGAUACAGGCCAAAUUAUCCUACCAUGAAUUUGGAGUUCAAAAAUACUGUGACUUGUGGUGUCUGAAUUGUUUGAAAAGCAGAUUGAAGAUUAUGCGAUCUUCGAGCAAAUGAUAAGGGAGAUUCUUGAGGAGGGUAUCAAAGGUGACAGCGCAAGGGCGGAGAGAGACAUCACCACGAACGGCGCCGCUGCCACCAAGAGCACUGAGGGAAGGAUUGGCAUCAAAGAUUGGUAACCGUUCUUUCUGCAAAUUUCCUAGAGUUAUGCUAUCCGUUCUUUCUGCAAAUUUCCUGAAGUUGAUAUAGCAGAGUGCGUCCCUUUCUAAAUAGUGCGUUUCCACAUCCUCUUUGGAAGUUGGAUAAUGGUCCAAUGUGGAAAACAAUCUGUAUCCCACUUUCCAUCCAUUUCCACGGUUGGAUUUCCUGUUACAAUUCUAUAGUGGAAUUUAUAGUCAAGAAGAAUUAUAUGGAUGUGAGAAUUAAGAACCUAACAAGCUCAACGUGUAGUUAGUCAAAAUAAGAAGCAACGCGUUAAGAUUUUUUUGUAACAGUUCUAAGGAUCAAGACGGCUAUUUUCGUGUGCAUGUGCAAUCGCUUAAAAUUCUGGUGCAAUUACGACCUUAGCAUCCUAUCAGAAGUAAUCUUAAUUACUUAGUCUUCAAAAAAGAAUUAAUUAAAUAGCUGUGGAUAUGACUGACCACCAUCUUGCCUCCCUGGGUGCAGGUGGAGAAAAAGCACUUAUGCUUAUCUGAAUGAACCAGCAAUGACAUCCACGGAUGAGAACGGCAGAAGGAAGCACGCCAUCAAAUACAUCCCACAGGAGAGAUGCAUGAAC